CAGUAGCCACGGUAAUACGGAGGGGGCUAGCGUUGUUCGGAAUUACUUGGCGUAAAGCGCACGUAGGCGGCUUGGUAAGUUAGAGGUGAAAGCCUGGAGCUCAACUCCAGAAUUGCCUUUAAGACUGCCGAGCUAGCAGGUGAGAGAGGUAAGUGGAAUUCCGAGUGUAGAGGUGAAAUGCGUAGAUAUCGGAAGGAACACCUGUGGCGAAAGCGGCUCACUGGACCAUUUCUGACGCUGAUGCACGAAAGCUAGGGGAGCAAACAGGAUUAGAUACCCGCGUAGUCCCUGUCUCUUAUAC
rnacentral:rRNA from 1 species